GCCCUUUGCCCGGCCGCGCUGCACAGCGCGGGGAUGCCAGCCUCGGGGCCGGCCUCGCGUCACUCCAGGGCAGAGGGCUAUUGCGGAGCCUUGCAGCCGAGAGAGGGGGAGAGGACAUCUUACAGCUCGGCUGGCUCGGGGCGGAAAAAACCCGGUGAUUCAUAUUCACUGCGCUGUCUCCUAUAACCCAAGGCAACCGGCGCGCUCCUCUGGUAGGCUUGCAGGUGCAUUGCUCCCCAGCCAGGGGAGGGAAAGCGCUGCGGGCGAUGCAACAAGUGCCUGGGAUGAUGCCAGCAUGAGCAGCCUCUCUGCGUGGCUUGUUCCAGUUGCCCGAUCCAACAUGCCUCCCGUUUUCCUGACUGAGAUCCAUGGUCUGUAAUGCUGAAGGCCCCUUCUGGCUGUGGCACAAAGCAAGUCCUGUCGCCAGCUGUGGAUCAUCAUGUCUAUCUCAUUUAUUUCUCUCAUCAGUGUUCUGUCCUGAGUAAAUAAAGUGUAAAAUAAGCUUGUCUUACCCGA